rnacentral:rRNA from 1 species
GAUGAACGCUGGCGGCGUGCCUAAUACAUGCAAGUCGAGCGAACAGACGAGGAGCUUGCCCCUCUGACGUUAGCGGCGGACGGGUGAGUAACACGUGGAUAACCUACCUAUAAGACUGGGAUAACUUCGGGAAACCGGAGCUAAUACCGGAUAAUAUAUUGAACCGCAUGGUUCAAUAGUGAAAGACGGUUUUGCUGUCACUUAUAGAUGGAUCUGCGCCGCAUUAGCUAGUUGGUAAGGUAACGGCUUACCAAGGCAACGAUGCGUAGCCGACCUGAGAGGGUGAUCGGCCACACUGGAACUGAGACACGGUCCAGACUCCUACGGGAGGCAGCAGUAGGGAAUCUUCCGCAAUGGGCGAAAGCUUGACGGAGCAACGCCGCGUGAGUGAUGAAGGUCUUCGGAUCGUAAAACUCUGUUAUUAGGGAAGAACAAAUGUGUAAGUAACUAUGCACGUCUUGACGGUACCUAAUCAGAAAGCCACGGCUAACUACGUG